rnacentral:rRNA from 1 species
UAGGGAAUCUUCCGCAAUGGGCGAAAGCCUGCCGGAGCAACGCCGCGUGAGUGAUGAAGGUCUUCGGAUCGUAAAACUCUGUUAUUAGGGAAGAACAAAUGUGUAAGUAACUAUGCACGUCUCGACGGUACCUAAUCAGAAAGCCACGGCUAACUACGUGCCAGCAGCCGCGGUAAUACGUAGGUGGCAAGCGUUAUCCGGAAUUAUUGGGCGUAAAGCGCGCGUAGGCGUUUUUUUAAGUCUGAUGUGAAAGCCCACGGCUCAACCGUGGCGGGUCAUUGGAAACUGGAAAACUUGAGUGCAGGAGAGGAAAGUGGAAUUCCAUGUGUGGCGGUGAAAUGCGCAGAGAUAUAGAGGAACACCAGUGGCGAAGGCGACUUUCUGGUCUGUAACUGACGCUAAUGUGCGAAAGCGUGAUGAUCAAACAGG